GUACGAGCCCAUUUUGCCCGGGCCCAUACCAACAAAAUAACUCAAAUAAUAAACCCAAAAGUAACAGCCCAUUUACAAACCCAAAAUCUGACCCAAAAUUUAAACCCAAACAAAUCAAAACCCUAAAGCCCAAAAGGCCCAAAAUCUAAAACAUUUUUCAGCAAAAUUUCAGCAGCAAACCCCAACUCUCCAUGCCACCAUGUCGGCCACCAUGCCCCUCAGCCUUGGCCACCACGCCCCACGCGUCUGACACUCCCACCAACUCCUCCAUGUGCUCCCACUUGUUGAUUUCCGUCACCUGCAGAAUAAGACAAAAAGAAAGCAAACACUAAGACAGAGGCAGACGGCAGGAAGCAAUGGCAAGAAAUUUAAAAUAUUGUAUUGAAAUGGCUAUAAAUGCCAGAUCUGAAUGUAAUAGGAGAGGGGGGGAUUUUUAUGUUUUUUUUGGAGAUUUCAAAGGGAAGAAUCGGUUGUAUUUUGGGGGGGUUUCUCUUUGUUUUUUUUUCGGCAUUUUAAUACAAAAAGCAGAGAAAAAUACAAAAAAAUGGGAAAUAAGGAACGAAAACAUAAAUCGGAAGGUGAUUUUGUUUUUUAUUUUUCUCUAUUAUCUUCUUAAAUCCAUUUUUUUCUUUUCUUCCUCAUUUCUAGCAUAUAUAUACACAUAUAAUCGAAAAAUUAAAAAAAACAAAAAAAUAAAUUUUUCGAUCGGCUUAGUAAAGGAGUCACGCCCAUCCCGGCAAUCUUAACAGAAACCUUCAGAUCUCUAAGCGCAUGUCGAAGAGCAGGGGAGGGAAGGUUCAUCGGAUGCGCACAGCUACUAUUGAUGUGGUUCCAUAGUCACUUUUGGAAGGUGGAAAAUGUCUCCUAUCGAGUCUUCUCAGAAGACUAUUCCCCAUUGAAGGAACAAGUUGCUACACCAAGACGAGACGACAUCACGGAAGAGAAGUGGAUGACGAUUCUCCAAAAUCUUCAGGAGGAUGACGUUGAAUGGAAAGCUCCUUGGAUGGUACCCGACGAGAUCCUGUAUCGAUGUGGGGAUUUCGACUGGGUCCCUUUACUCGAAAUUUGGGGAGCUGUCGGUUAUGCCCCUUUACUCGUAUUAAGACAAUAUAGAUCGAGACAGUUCAUACCAGCAACACAAGGGCUGGCUCAAUGUGAGUUUUCUUAUAAGGAUGAAAACUACAAGAGAAAAACUCGAGAAAUAUCUAACGCUUGGAAACAGGUUCACCGAAUGAAAAGAUUUACCGUAGGAGCGAUGACAACUUCCGAAUAUUAUGGGUGGUGGAGUAAAAAAGUCAAUGACAACAUCCCUAAGCCGAGGGAAGAUUGCGUUCAGUCUAUAGAGGAGCAUCUACAAGUAGUUCCGUCAGAAUUAGAGAUCAUCAAACGAGACUUUGAGAAAAGAAAUUCUGAGUUGGGAAAGAGGAUAGAACAGCUAGAAGAAGAAAGAGUGCAUUUGGGAUUAGACAUCGAUAUCCACAAGCUAGAAGCCGAGAAAUUAAGAAAGAGAAAGAACAAGGCUGAAGAGGAUUUGGAUAGUCUAAAAACAGAUUACAAGAAGCUGUGAUUGUCAAUGAGAACUGUCGGUUUGGGUAAAACGUCAGAGCAGUGGCGACAAGAGAUCAAUGAGGAAAAGAAUAGGGCCGAUCAGUGGGAAAAGAAAUUUCAAGAUGCUCGAGCUCGAGAAAACGCUUUGGAAAGGAGUUUGUUAGAAUGCCGAAAUAAGAAGGCAGGAUUAAAGGCCAAGGUGGCAGAGCUAGAAAAGUCACUUCACUCGUACCGUAGUCGCAACUCCAUGAUCGAAUUAAGAGCAAGCUUAAAUAAGAUCGAAGAACUGAAGGGAAAGGUAGAGGAGCUUGAGGACGCAUUACACAAUUCUGAGCUACGAAUGGAGCUUCUUGAGAGGAGUAAUGAUCAAUGGCAAGAGCAAUUCCAUCAUUCUCAAAGUCAGAUUAGAGAUAGAGAUUACGUUAUGGGCGAAACUGUGACUCAAGUGCGGGAAGUGGCUGAUCAUCUGCAAACAUUAGCAGUUCAGGCCGAUGUAUUGAGUUUAAGAUAUGAGUCAGAAUCAAGCCGAGGUCGAGAUUUAGCUUGGCUUCUUAGGAAGGUUAAGGCUUUGGGUAUAAAGGCGAAGCCGUAUAUGUAAUUUAUUUUAUGUAAAGAAAUUUGCUUUCUAGUUGAGUUUUCUAAUGAAAUUGAAUUCGAAUCAAUGCCUCUUUUUGCAUUCAUCUCAUACAUUUGCAUUACAUCAUAUGCAGUAAGUUUCAUAAAAUGACCCUAAUAAAAUUAAAUUAUGACAGUUACCCUGGAAACCAACAAAAAUCUAAUCAAAUAUCACUACGGUACUCGUCGCCAAACAAAAGCAAUGGAUCAAAGGUUGGAAAGAUUGGAACAGUUGCAACGAGAGAUGCAAUAUCAGAUGCAUGAACGACUGGAAAAAAUCCAGCAGGACAUGUUAGAAUCCCAGAACACUGUGAUGAACCAAUUAAAGCAGUUAUUGGCUGGAGGGAAUAACAAAGGAAAGGACCCCGUAGUUGAUGCUGGGAAGGAUCACGAUGACCCUGUUUAUCCUCCAGGUUUCACCCCAACUAACAUCCAAGCACAACCAGAGGUGUACCCACAGAGGGUACCAGUUACCAUUGGACCUCAAUAUCUGGCUGGUACCUCGGUACCAGUGCAUUUUCAAAUAGGCUCGGGUUCUAAUCCCGGGGAUAAUCCCACUAAUCCUGUGGUUCCGGAUCUCGAUGACGUGGCAGAAACAGAAAAAAUAAGAAUGAACCUGCCAAAACAACUGGAGGACCGAUGUAGAUGGUUAGAGGAAAAAUUUAGAGCCAUGGAGAACAUCGACUAUCAUCGCGGGGUUGACGCCAAGGAUCUGAGUUUGGUUCCUGAUUUAGUACUCCCACCUAAGUUCAAAAUGCCGGAAUUCGAAAAAUAUAAUGGGACUAGUUGUCCUGAAGCUCAUAUAACUAUGUUCUGUCGAAGAAUGACAGGAUACGUCAACAAUGAUCAGCUAUUAAUCCACUGCUUCCAGGACAGUUUGAUCGGAUCUGCAGCCAAAUGGUACAACCAACUGAGUCGUGCUAAAGUUAGUUCAUGGAGAGACUUGGCGUAAGCUUUUAUGAAGCAAUACAGUCAUGUAACAGAUAUAACGCCCAAUCGAAUUACGUUACAAAACAUGGAAAAAAAGCCUAGCGAGAAUUUUAGGCAAUACGCCCAACGAUGGAGAGAAGUGGCAACACAAGUCCAGCCACCCCUUUUGGAAAAAGAGGUCACCAUGUUGUUUAUCAACACUUUGAAAGCCCCGUUCAUCAACCACAUGUUGGGGAGUGCUACCAAGAGCUUCUCGGAUAUGGUAAUGUCCGAUGAAAUGAUUGAGAACGCGGUAAAGAGCGGUAAAAUUGACACGGGGGAAAACUUUAAAAGACCAGCCCCAAGGAAAAAAGAGGGCGAAGUAAACAACGUAAGCACAUAUAGCAAGAGCCAUUCAAAAUCGAUUACUGUUGGCCCUCCAAAAAUGAUGACCACUAGUCACCAAGCCCCCUCAAGGCAAGAACCCAACACAAGGCCCAACACAAGGACUAACACAGAGAGACUUCAAUUCACGCCCAUUCCAAUAACAUACGGGGAACUGUAUCAGAAGUUAUUUGAUGCACACAUAGCAUCUCCAUUUUAUCUAGAGCCCAUGCAACCUCCAUAUCCUAAAUGGUAUGACGCGAAUGCCCAAUGUGAAUACCAUGCAGGGAUACCAGGGCACUCAAUUGAGAACUGCACUGGGUUUAAAAAGGCGGUGGAAAGGUUCAUUAAGAUGGGGAUUGUGAAGUUUGACAACUCAUUAGGACCAAACAUAGCAGCGAAUCCGUUACCCAAUCAUGCUGAUAAAGGGGUAAACGCAAUAAUCGAAGGUGGGAGAAAGAGAAUCAAAGCCGACAUUGCAGAGAUAAAGACUCCAUUGAGUUGGGUUUGGAGAUAAAUGAUAGAAGGAGGUCUCAUCAAACAAGGUUCAAAGGAAAGGCCCGAAGGAACGAAGACGUACUGCGAGUUUCAUGCUGAAGAAGACCAUGACAUUCAAAACUGCACUAAAUUCAAGGCCAUGGUACAAAAUCUGAUGAACAACAAAGAGCUAGAAUUUUAUGAAGAGAUCAAAGGACUUGAAAAUGGAGAAGUUUAUGCCUCGAAGGAAGGGCCUACGGGAAAGGCCAAAAAUCACCCGGUGGUGAUUAUUUCAAGGCCAACAAACACAGGAUCUGGAAUACAACUGGCGCCAAGGGUCAUAAUCCAAAAACCUGUAGCCUUUCCUUACAAGGAUAGCAAAAAGGUUCCUUGGAAUUAUGACUGCAAUGUGAUGAUCACGGGAGAGGAGAACCUGAUAAAUGCUUCAGAAGAGGGUAAUGACGCAGGCUUCUAUACGCGUAGUGGAAAACGUUACGACCCGGGAAAUAUAAAAAGGAGGCCUAUAAAAGGAAAAGCCUUGGCGGUUGAACAAGAUAAAACGAAGAAGACCGAAAUUGAACCGCAUAUUAACACACCGGUGACUGAAAAUGAGGCUAGAGAAUUCCUAAAAUUCUUGAAGCAUAGCGAGUAUAGCAUGGUGGAACAACUGCAUAAGCAACCGGCUCGCAUCUCAGUGCUCGAGUUACUUCUAAGUUCAGAGAUACAUCAUAAUGCGUUAGUAAAAGUGCUAAAUGAGACUUAUGUCGCUAAAGAUAUCUCAGUGAACAAAUUGGAUGCCUGGUUAACAAUAUAAAUGCUGAUAACUUUAUCUUCUUCAACGAUGAUGAGAUCCCGCCAGGCGGUAUGGGAUCUACCAAGGCCUUACACAUUACUGCCCGUUGCAAGGGGUGUAUACUACCGGCGGUACUCGUUGACAAUGGAUCGGCCCUGAAUGUUUUACCCCUGUCCACAUUAAACAGGCUACCUGUGGAUAGUUCUCACAUGAAAUCAUGCCAAAAUAUAGUGAGAGCAUUUGAUGGCACUGAGAGAAAUGUGAUGGGAAGAAUCGAGAUACCUCUAUUGAUUGGUCCAAAUACAUACGAGCUGGACUUUUUGGUAAUGGAUAUUAAACCAUCUUACAAUUGCCUAUUGGGGAGGCCUUGGAUCCAUUCCGCAGGGGCUGUACCAUCGUCACUUCACCAAAAGUUAAAAUUGGUGAUAGAGGGUCGAUUGGUGACUAUAGGUGCAGAAGAAGACAUCAUUGCAUCAGUCACCGAUGAUAUGCCAUACAUAGAAGCUGAUAGUGAAGCGAUAGAGUGUUCAUUCCGAUCAUUGGAAUUCGUAAAUGCCACAUUUGUCAUCGAGAUGAGCAAAAUCCCAGAGCCUAAGAUAUCCAAAGCUACGUCAAUGAGCUUACAGCUAACGAUGGGAAAUGGAGCAUUGCCUGGAAGAGGAUUUGGAAAAUACCUCCAGAAAAGGGUUGAAGUACCGAUCCUAGUUAACAAACAGGACCGUUAUGGUUUGGGAUAUAAGCCUAAUGCGAGGGAAAGGAGGAAGGAGAUGGAGAAAAAGCAAGAAAGGAGAAGAGCACAUUUGGGCGGGAUAGAAGCCAAGUGGGGACCGAUAACCUUUCCCCAUAUAUCUAAGACUUUUGUUUCAGGGGGAAUUGUCCACCCUGAAGAGAAGGAUGAGGUUACAGAAGGAAGGAUUGAGAGGUUGGACAUCAAUGCCAUAUUCGCGGAAGAAAGGGUGGAAAGGAAUUUAUCGGGCAUUCGUUCUUACGAACCUGGAAGUGUUCUGAAUAACUGGACUGUAGAAGAGAUCCCUGUAACAUUUAGAACUAAUUCAGAGUAAUAUUCAGAACACUUGUUUCCCUAAGCCUGGGGGUGAUAAGAAUCUUUUGUAAAAGGCACAUGUCCAAAAUCUAAUUUCAGUGAAAACUUAUCAUUCAGUUUCAUCUUGAGCAAAUAUUCUUUCAUUCUUUUCAUUCCCUUUAUAACCAUACUAUGCAUACAAGUAUUCUUAGAUUCUUUUAUUUGGGCCUCCAUUUGUUCCAAUAACAGGUCUUCAGAUAUCAACGAGAUGAGCGACUCUGUUACUAAUUCAGAGUCUCUAUUUGAGCAAGACAUGAGUAUAGAUGAUCCUCAAGAUUUUGAAGGUGACCAAGACAGCGUUUUAUCUCCAGAUUUGUUAAGAAUGAUGGAAGAAGAAGAAAAACAAAUUCUACCCUAUAAGGAAUCAGUAGAAGUUGUGAUCUUAGAAGAGGGCAGAGAGGUAAAAAUUGGCGCUUGCAUUGCCAAGGAAACAAGGCAAGACCUUGUUGAGUUGCUUCAAGAAUUUAAAGAUGUCUUCGCGUGGUCCUACCAAGAUAUGCCAGGGUUAAGUACUGAUAUCGUGGUACACCGAUUGCCUAUAAAGGAAGAAUGCAAACCAGUCCAACAAAAGCUCCGAAGGAUGAGGCCUGAUGUCUUGCUAAAAAUAAAGGAAGAAGUUAAGAAGCAAUUUGAUGCUGGUUUCUUACAGGUGGUCAAGUACUCAGAAUGGGUAGCCAAUAUAGUCCCUGUUCCUAAGAAAGAUGGGAAGGUGCGAAUGUGUGUGGACUACAGAGACUUGAACAAAGCCAGCCCAAAAGAUAAUUUCUCACUGCCUCAUAUCGAUACCUUGGUAGACAACACGGCCGGAUACUCACUGUUCUCUUUCAUGGAUGGUUUCUCCGGGUACAACCAAAUUAAGAUGCUUUCUGAAGACAGGGAGAAGACCACAUUCAUAACGAUGUGGGGGACGUUUUGUUAUAAAGUGAUGCCUUUUGGAUUGAAAAAUGCGGGAGCAACGUAUCAGAGAGCCAUGGUAGCAUUAUUCCAUGAUAUGAUGCAUAAAGAGAUAGAAAUUUAUGUUGAUGACAUGAUCGCAAAAUCCAGAACAGAAGGGGAACACGUGCAAGUUCUGAGAAAACUGUUUCUAAGGUUAAGGAAGUUCCAGUUAAAACUUAACCCAGCCAAGUGUACUUUCGGGGCUAGAUCAGGAAAAUUGCUAGGAUUCUUAGUCAGCGAAAAAGGAAUUGAAAUUGACCCAGACAAAGUUAAGGCCAUACAAGAAUUACCUCCGCCAAGUACUCAAAAAGAAGUUCAGGGUUUUCUAGGAAGACUAAAUUACAUCGCUCGAUUCAUUUCACAAUUAACUAAGAAAUGUGACCCCAUAUUCUGUCUUCUUAAGAAACACAAUCCAGGUGUAUGGGAUAAGGAGUACUAGAAAACUUUCGAAAAAGUUAAACAUUACUUGUCCAACGCCCCAGUACUGAUGCCACCUUGCCCUGACAAGCCACUAAUACUAUACUUGGCAGUAUUUGAGAAUUCCAUGGGGGGCGUGCUCGGCCAACAUGAUGAGUCAGGACGAAAAGAAAGAGCGAUCUAUUAUCUCAGUAAGAAGUUCACUGAAUGCGAAACGAGAUAUUCGCCAAUUGAAAAAUUAUGUUGCGCAUUGGUUUGGACUACUCGGAGAUUGAGACAAUACAUGUUGUACCAUACGACUUGGUUAAUCUCAAAGUUAGACCCUCUGAAAUACAUGAUGGAGUCAACUACUCUAAACGGAAGGAUGGCCCGAUGGUAAAUUCUACUAUCUGAAUUUGACAUAACCUAUGUGAAUCAAAAGGCUGUAAAAGGGAGUGUGACAGCAGAUUUUCUAGCAAGUAGAGCCCUGGACGAUUAUGAGCCUUUGAACUUUGAUUUCCCAAAUGAGGAUCUGAUGUAUGUGGCAACUACUGAAGCAAGCACACAAGAAGGCAAUACUUGGAAAUUAAAUUUUGACGGAGCCUCAAAUGCCAUGGGCAACGGGAUUGGGGCAGUCUUGGUAUCUCCAAACGGUGAUCAUUAUCCUUUCACCAGUAAACUAGAUUUUGAUUACACAAAUAACAUGGCGGAAUAUGAAGCAUGUAUCAUGGGAAUCCGCGCGGCUAUGGAACGCAAAAUUAAGGUACUUGAGGUAUAUGGGGAUUCGGCAUUGGUAAUUUAUCAGCUCAAAGGCGAAUGGGAAACAAGAGACCCUAAGUUGAUUAGUUACCGAAGGAUAGUCCUAGAAUUGAUUGAGGAGUUUGACGACAUCACUUUUUGUUAUCUCCCACGAGACGAGAAUCAGAUGGCCGACGCUUUAGCUACAUUGGCUUCCAUGAUCAAAGUAAAUAGACCAGAGGAUGUGAAGCCUAUCUAAAUGAGCAUUUAUGAUGCUCCAGCCCACUGUUGUAACAUUGACGAAGAAGAAGAAAAGGACGACAACCCUUGGUAUCAGGAUAUAUUGCGAUACGUAAAAAAUCGUGAAUAUCCAAACCAAGCAACUGAGAAUGACAAGAGAAUGUUGAGGAGGCUGGCCAGUGAUUACGUCUUAGAUGGAGAGAUCCUGUACAAAAGAGGAAAAGAUCAGGUGCUGUUAAGAUGUGUGGACGCUGUGGAGGCCAAACAGAUCUUGAAAGAAGUCCAUGAUGGUAUUUGUGGAACACACGCUAAUGGUUUCACAAUGGCCAGACAAAUCAUGAGAUUUGGAUAUUAUUGGUCUACCAUGGAAGGAGACUGCAUCAAAUAUGCUAAGAAGUGCCAUAAAUGUCAGAUUUACGAAGACAAAAUCCAUGUGCCUCCAUCACCUCUUCACGUCAUGACUUCCCCAUGGCCUUUCUCCAUGUGGGGCAUGGACGUCAUUCGGCCGAUAUCGCCAAAGGCUUCAAACAGACAUCGUUUCAUUUUUGUAGUGAUUGACUACUUUACUAAGUGGGUAGAGGCUACUUCUUAUACCAACGUCACAAAGGCAGCUGUCAGCAAGUUUUUAAAAAAGAAAAUCAUAUGUCGGUAUGGAAUGCCCGAAAGGAUUAUAUCUGACAACGUAUUAAAUUUGAAUAAUAGCACGAUAGCAGAAGUUUGUAGUCAAUUCAAGAUCAAGCACCACAACUCAUCGCCAUAUCGUCCGAAGAUGAAUGGUGCGGUGGAGGCAGCCAAUAAAAAUAUCAAAAAGAUUGUGGGGAAAAUGACUGAGACCUAUAGAGAUUGGCACGAGAAGUUGCCAUUCGCCCUCUAUGCUUAUCGAACGUCCGUCAGGACUUCUACCGGGGCAACACCAUUCUCUUUGGUUUAUGGAAUGGAGGCAGUGCUACCAAUUGAGGUUGAAAUUUCCUCUCUCCGAGUUUUUUCAGAACUAAAGUUAGACGAAGCAGAAUGGGUCCAAUCCCGAUAUGAUCAGCUAAACUUGAUUGAAGAAAGGAGGUUAAGAGCUAUCCGUCAUGGUCAAAUGUACCAGAAACGAAUGAUGCGAGCUUACAAUAAGAAAGUUCGUCCUAGAAACUUCCAUGAAGGGGACUUGGUACUGAAGAAGAUCCUUCCCAUACAAAAAGACUUCAGAGGAAAGUGGAUGCCAAACUGGGAGGGACCUUAUGUAGUAAAAAAGGCCUUUUCAGGAGGGGCAUUAAUUUUAACUGGGAUGGAUAGCAAAAGCUUGCCCAAUCCUGUGAAUUCAGAUUCAGUGAAGAGGUACUUUGCCUAAAAAAAAAGGAGAGGCCAAGGCGAAAACCCGCAAAGGGCACCUUGAGACCAAAGGGGUUUUGAAUUGAAAACCCUGGAAUGGGCAAUUCAAAUUUUCGAUCAAAGAUGAGGCAUAGAGUAGUUUUGUCUUCUCCGAAUUAACAAGAAGGAAAGAUGCUACAUCUUGGGGCAUCAACAAAGCCUUCUAGGACUUCUAAACACAUAUCAAGUUCAAAAGGGUCCUUAAGAAGUUUGGGGCAGAGAAGCUCAUGCUACGAUAUCUGGGGCACCUAUUUCCAUUUUAUUCAUUUUUUGUAUUUUUGACAAAAUACAUCAUCUUGAUUAAUUUAUUCUCGUUUUGUAUUCUAGCAACAUUUGCUAUCUUGAUUAAUUUGUUCAUUUAGAGCUUUGCUCUCAGCAAAUUUUCAUCUUAUCCGUUGUGAUAAUCUUUUUUCAUCUUAUUCAUCUCGUAUCUCAGCAAAAUUUGCUAUCUUGAUUUGUUUGUUUAGAGCUUUGCUCUCAACAAAAUUUCAUUUGUCCAUUUUGAUAAUCUUUUUCAAGCAUUUUUCAUUGAAAUAACGAUUAAUGGACUGACAAUACACAUGCAGAAGGAGUUCUGCAUAUUACUCUGAAAGUUUCUAAAUAAUACGAGGACCUGAAACAGGACUAUUGUUUAGAACUAACCAAACCUAAGGGUUGGAAACAUUUGAGAAAUGAUAGUCUAAAUAGCGUCUAUUUCUUUAGGUUUUCUGUCAAAGGUACUGGCUGAACAAGAAGGCAUCAGUGAUAGAACCUUGAUGAACAAUGAGGAAUGACAACCUAAGCAUUAAAAAUGGAUCAUUCUCAUGACAUUCUACAAAUAUAAUACAUACACAUCUAGUUAGGAGCAUUUGAUUCAUUCUGAUCAUGUCAUCCUAAACACUAGGCGUAAAUAGGUCCUAUCUUCCUAUAUUGGUAGGAAGUGGAUCAAAGAUGCAGAUCUUGUCUUCCCACAUUGGUGGCGAAGUAGAUCGAAGAAAGCAGAUCUUGUCUUCAUGUAUUGGCGUGAAGUAGAUCGAAGGUAGCAGAUCCUAUCUUCUUAUAUUGGUAGGAAGUGGAUCGAAGAUGCAGAUCUUGUCUUUCCAUAUUGGUGGCGAAGUAGAUCGCAGAAAGCAGAUCUUCUCUUCAUGUAUUGGCGUGAAGUAGAUCGAAGGUAGCAGAUCCUAUCUUCCUAUAUUGGUAGGAAGUGGAUCGAAGAUGCAGAUCUUGUCUUCCCAUAUUGGUGGCGAAGUAGAUCGCAGAAAGCAGAUCUUGUCUUCAUGUAUUGGCGUGAAGUAGAUCGAAGGUAGCAGAUCCUAUCUUCCUAUAUUGGUAGGAAGUGGAUCGAAGAUGCAGAUCUUGUCUUCCCAUAUUGGUGGCGAAGUAGAUCGCAGAAAGCAGAUCUUGUCUUCAUGUAUUGGCGUGAAGUAGAUCGAAUGUAGCAGAUUCUAUCUUCCUAUAUUGGUAGGAAAUGGAUCGAAGAUGCAGAUCUUGUCUUCCCAUAUUGGUGGCGAAGUAGAUCGCAGAAAGCAGAUCUUGUCUUCAUGUAUUGGCGUGAAGUAGAUCGAAGAUAGCAGGUCCUAUCUUCCUAUAUUGAUAGGAAGUGGAUCCAAGAUACAGAUCUUGUCUUCCCAUACUGGUGGUGAAGUAGAUCGAAGAAAGCAGAUCUUGUCCCUGUAUUUGGCAGUGGAAUAGAUUGAGGAUUGCAUAUCUUGCCUUCCUGUAUUUGGCAGCGAAGCAGAUCGACGAUGGCAGAUUUUACCUCCCUGACUACAGUGGAGUACAUUGAAGCCGAUAACUCUAUCUCCCUGCAUUCAACAGUGGAAUAGAGUGAAGAUUACAGAUCUUAUUCCCCUAAGCAGUAGUGGAGCAGACUAAAAACACAAAUCUCAUCCCCAUGGAGUCGUAACAAAGUAGAUUGAAGCUACAAGGCGUAUCUGAAGUUGCCGUGAAGUGGAUCAAGGCAAGAAUACGCAGUAGACUGAAAUGAGGUUACUUGAAGAAGAUAAGCACCAUAAAAUCAAGACUCGGUGAGACAGGGAAAAAUUGGCCUUCUUAGUCUUUGCUCUGUUCUCGUUACACGACAACAAGCAAAGAGGGGCAGCUGUACGAGCCCAUUUUGCCCGGGCCCAUACCAACAAAAUAACUCAAAUAAUAAACCCAAAAGUAACAGCCCAUUUACAAACCCAAAAUCUAACCCAAAAUUUAAACCCAAACAAAUCAAAACCCUAAAGCCCAAAAGGCCCAAAAUCUAAAACAUUUUUCAGCAAAAUUUCAGCAGCAAACCCCAGCUCUCCAUGCCACCAUGUCGGCCACCAUGCCCCUCAGCCUUGGCCACCACGCCCCACGCGUCUGACACUCCCACCAACUCCUCCAUGUGCGCCCACUUGUUGAUUUCCGUCACCUGCAGAAUAAGACAAAAAGAAAGCAAACACUAAGACAGAGGCAGACGGCAGGAAGCAAUGGCAAGAAAUUUAAAAUAUUGUAUUGCAACGGCUAUAAAUGCCAGAUCUGAAUGUAAUAGGAGAGGGGGGUUUUUAUGUUUUUUUUUUGAGAUUUCAAAGGGAAGGAUCGGUUGUAUUUUGGGGGGGUUUCUCUUUGUUUUUUUUUCGGCAUUUUAAUACAAAAAGCAGAGAAAAAUACAAAAAAAGGGGAAACAAGGAACGAAAACAUAAAUCGGAAGGUGAUUUUGUUUUUUAUUUUUCUCUAUUAUCUUCUUAAAUCCAUUUUUUUCUUUUCUUCCUCAUUUCUAGCAUAUAUAUACACAUACAAUCGAAAAAUUAAAAAAAAAAACAAAAAAAUAAAUUUUUUACCUUUUCCGGCCACCGCACGCGGUGGCCGGCGCCGGCGCCGGCGAGCCUCCGGUGGCCGUCCGGUGACCGGCCCCCUGGCCGGAUUCCCCUUCCCCCCUCCCUUCUCUCUUCCCUCUCUCUUCUUUUUUUUU
rnacentral:lncRNA from 1 species